rnacentral:rRNA from 1 species
UUCCGGGAAGGUGGCCCUAGCGGCGAACGGGUGAGUAACACGUGGGCAACCUGCCCCUAGCACUGGGAUAACUCCGGGAAACCGGGGCUAAUACCGGAUACGACCUCAGAAGGCAUCUUCCGAGGUGGAAAAAUUUAUUGGCUAGGGAUGGGCCCGCGGCCUAUCAGCUUGUUGGUGAGGUAACGGCCCACCAAGGCUUCGACGGGUAGCCGGCCUGAGAGGGCGACCGGCCACACUGGGACUGAGACACGGCCCAG